UUCGGCGCCACCACCCUGCGGGUCGCGCUGUAAGAUCUUGCCCCGCGGGUGUUCGCCCACC
ensembl:miRNA